UACGAAGGGGGCUAGCGUUGCUCGGAAUUACUGGGCGUAAAGGGAGCGUAGGCGGAUAGUUUAGUCAGAGGUGAAAGCCCAGGGCUCAACCCUGGAAUUGCCUUUGAUACUGGCUAUCUUGAGUACGGGAGAGGUGUGUGGAACUCCGAGUGUAGAGGUGAAAUUCGUAGAUAUUCGGAAGAACACCAGUGGCGAAGGCGACACACUGGCCCGUUACUGACGCUGAGGCUCGAAAGCGUGGGGAGCAAACAGG
rnacentral:rRNA from 1 species